GAUGUACGCUGGCGGCGUGCCUAAUACAUGCAAGUCGAGCGAACGGACGAGAAGCUUGCUUUUCUGAUGUUAGCGGCGGACGGGUGAGUAACACGUGGAUAACCUACCUAUAAGACUGGGAUAACUUCGGGAAACCGGAGCUAAUACCGGAUAAUAUUUUGAACCGCAUGGUUCAAAAGUGAAAGACGGUCCUGCUGUCACUUAUAGAUGGAUCCGCGCUGCAUUAGCUAGUUGGUAAGGUAACGGCUUACCAAGGCAACGAUGCAUAGCCGACCUGAGAGGGUGAUCGGCCACACUGGAACUGAGACACGGUCCAGACUCCUACGGGUGGCAGCAGUAGGGAAUCUUCCGCAAUGGGCGAAAGCCUGACGGAGCAACGCCGCGUGAGUGAUGAAGGUCUUCGGAUCGUAAAACUCUGUUAUUAGGGAAGAACAUAUGUGUAAGUAACUGUGCACAUCUUGACGGUACCUAAUCAGAAAGCCACGGCUAACUACGUG
rnacentral:rRNA from 1 species